UACGUAGGAGGCAAGCGUUGUCCGGAAUUACUGGGCGUAAAGUGCGUGUAGGUGGUGGGACAAGUCUGCUGUGAAAGCGCCUGGCUUAACCGGGCGAGGUCGGCGGAAACUGUCCGACUCGAGGACGGUAGAGGGGGGUGGAAUUCCCGGUGUAGUGGUGAAAUGCGUAGAGAUCGGGAGGAACACCUGUGGCGAAGGCGGCCCCCUGGGCCGGCCCUGACACUGAGACGCGAAAGCGUGGGGAGCAAACAGG
rnacentral:rRNA from 1 species